GAUGAACGCUGGCGGCGUGCCUAAUACAUGCAAGUCGAGCGAACGGACGAGAAGCUUGCUUCUCUGAUGUUAGCGGCGGACGGGUGAGUAACACGUGGAUAACCUACCUAUAAGACUGGGAUAACUUCGGGAAACCGGAGCUAAUACCGGAUAAUAUUUUGAACCGCAUGGUUCAAAAGUUAAAGACGGUCUUUCUGUCACUUAUAGAUGGAUCCGCGCUGCAUUAGCUAGUUGGUAAGGUAACGGCUUACCAAGGCAACGAUGCAUAGCCGACCUGAGAGGGUGAUCGGACACACUGGAACUGAGACACGGUCCAGACACCUACGGGAGGCAGCAGUAGGGAAUCUUCCGCAAUGGGCGAAAGCCUGACGGAGCAAAGCCGCGUGAGUGAUGAAGGUCUUCGGAUCGUAAAACUCUGUUAUUAGGGAAGAACAUAUGUGUAAGUAACUGUGAACAUCUUGACGGUACCUAAUCAGAAAGCCACGGCUAACUACGUG
rnacentral:rRNA from 1 species